UACGGAGGAUCCGAGCGUUAUCCGGAUUUAUUGGGUUUAAAGGGUGCGCAGGCGGAAGAUUAAGUCGGUGGUGAAAUUUUGCAGCUCAACUGUAAAAGUGCCAUUGAUACUGGUUUUCUUGAGUGUGGAUGAAGUAGGCGGAAUUUGUGGUGUAGCGGUGAAAUGCAUAGAUAUCACGAGGAACUCCGAUUGCGCAGGCAGCUUACUAAACCAUAACUGACGCUCAGGCACGAAGGCGUGGGGAUCAAACAGGAUUAGAUACCCCU
rnacentral:rRNA from 1 species